rnacentral:rRNA from 1 species
AGAGUUUGAUCCUGGCUCAGGAUGAACGCUAGCGGCAGGCCUAACACAUGCAAGUCGAACGGUAACAGAUCUUUCGGGAUGCUGACGAGUGGCGCACGGGUGCGUAACGCGUAUACAAUCUGCCUCUAACCGGAAGAUAGCCCAUGGAAACGUGGAUUAAUACUCCAUAAUAUCACAUUACCUCCUGGUAGAGUGAUUAAAGCUUUGGCGGUUAGAGAUGAGUAUGCGUCCUAUUAGCUUGUUGGUGAGGUAACGGCUCACCAAGGCUUCGAUAGGUAGGGGGUCUGAGAGGAUUAUCCCCCACACUGGUACUGAGACACGGACCAGACUCCUACGGGAGGCAGCAGUGAGGAAUAUUGGGCAAUGGACGAAAGUCUGACCCAGCCAUGCCGCGUGCAGGAUGACGGCCCUAUGGGUUGUAAACUGCUUUUAUAUGGGAAGAAACCCCUCUACGUGUAGAGGGCUGACGGUACCAUUUGAAUAAGCAUCGGCUAACUCCGUGCCAGCAGCCGCGGUAAUACGGAGGAUGCAAGCGUUAUCCGGAUUCAUUGGGUUUAAAGGGUCCGUAGGCGGACUUUUAAGUCAGGGGUGAAAGCCUACAGCUCAACUGUAGAAUUGCCUUUGAUACUGGAAGUCUUGAGUAUAGUUGAAGUGGGCGGAAUACGUCAUGUAGCGGUGAAAUGCAUAGAUAUGACGUAGAACACCGAUUGCGAAGGCAGCUCACUAAGCUAUAACUGACGCUGAGGGACGAAAGCGUGGGGAGCGAACAGGAUUAGAUACCCUGGUAGUCCACGCUGUAAACGAUGAUAACUCGCUGUUGGCGAUACACAGUCAGCGGCUAAGCGAAAGCGUUAAGUUAUCCACCUGGGGAGUACGUUCGCAAGAAUGAAACUCAAAGGAAUUGACGGGGGCCCGCACAAGCGGUGGAGCAUGUGGUUUAAUUCGAUGAUACGCGAGGAACCUUACCAGGGCUUAAAUGCAGAGUGACCUUUCCGGAAACGGAGAUUCUCUUCGGAGCAAUUUGCAAGGUGCUGCAUGGUUGUCGUCAGCUCGUGCCGUGAGGUGUUAGGUUAAGUCCUGCAACGAGCGCAACCCCUAUCUUUAGUUGCCAGCGAUUCGGUCGGGGACUCUAAAGAGACUGCCAGCGCAAGCUGUGAGGAAGGCGGGGAUGACGUCAAAUCAUCACGGCCCCUACGUCCUGGGCUACACACGUGCUACAAUGGUAGAGACAGAGGGCAGCCACCACGUG